UAUUGUACACUUAAUAGACUACAGUAUAGUAUAUAUAUAGCUUUCAUAUACACUGGCAAACCAAGAAGUUCCCUGUGAUUCAUUUUAUUUUGGUGAUCUAUAACUGGUACUAAAGGCAUGCUAUAAAUUUAAAGUUUCCUGUAGGUCUUUUACUUUAUUUAUUUUUUUUAAAUAAAUGUUUUCAGAAUUUCAAGUCGUAUUCUUACCUAAGAACCUUCAAAACACAUGCCCUUCCCAUGCCAGAGCCAUGGCUAAUUCAAGUGCCAUCUAGUGGCCAAACUAGUUUAACAAAAACCAGUUAAAAUGCUAGAGAAGUUGAUUUUCAUUUUGCCAGCUUGAAGGACUAGUUCCAGCACAUGAAUAUUACAUAUUAUUAUGAAUUCUCCUUGGAAUUGUCCAAGCUAUAUUGAAGUUACUGAAGCACGAAUAGUUCUGAUUUCCGUAACUCUGAAGCAGGAGUUAGGAGGGCUUGGACCACAAAAUUCCUCUGCUCUGUAGAAGAUAUUCCCUGAGGUCACUUAUCAAGGUAUUUGAUUUACAUGUAUUCAUUACUAAGCUAUUCAUUCAACAUCGAGUUUAUUUGUUUAUUGCCACCUAGGUUUAAGGCAGUGUGUUAGGGAAUAAAAGAUUGAUCACACUGGGUAUCUUAUUCUUUUAAGGGCUUAUUGUUUAAUAGGGAAUAUAUACAUCCAUAACCUUAAUGAAAAUAGUUUUGUGAGAUUUAGAAAGGUUAAUCAGACAUGGCCCUAACCGUAAAGGACAUACAGUCAUUAGAGGACGUAGGAAACUUCCAGCACUGGUCUAGGGGGAAAUUAGUUAGACACAUUCACAAAACAGGGAGUGAAAGCAGAUGGGAGCUGAAUUACGUGGCUCUACCCACAAGAAGGAUAAAGGCUGAAAGAAGCUUUUACAAGAAGGUGGAAAUCUGCCUUUCUUAGCCCAUCAUUCGCUGCCUUCCCUACUUAGCUCCACACAUUUUGGAAUCAAUAGAAAAUGGUUGGUAUUGAAGGAAUGAUGGUUUAGCUGUUUUUUUCCACAUCCAUGCUUAUCCACUGCAAAACAGCAGCUUUACAAAAUAAAUAAGUAAAUAAGCUGACCUUGUUACUAUAGUUAGCAUUCAAGUCAACUAAUUUGUUUUAAAACUUUUAUAUAGAUUUUAGUUAGCUUAUGUGGCUAAUAAGUUCCAAAGAUACAGUUUUAGUGGCUAUAUCUUGUUUAAUUUUGAUGAUGAAAAAAAUGACACCACAAGAAAAUGACACAAAGAAAAGCUUGUAUUUGAAUUUAGCUACGUGAAUUAAUAGUAAUCCCUCAAGUCCCUUCUCUUUUGCAGCAUUAAAUUCUGUAGUGUUUUCCAGCUUCCCCCCCCUUCCAUUUUCCUCCUUCAGAGUCAUGAGUGAUUAAUUUUAUUGACUUAAUUUCAAAGUGAUAUUUUCACAGUAAAACCUUUCAAACAUUCAAAGACAGAUUUCAUUUUAAUGGUUUAAAAUUGAGGAGUUAUUUAGUGCUCUGGUGGGUUGUUGUUUUGAGUACUGAGAUGGAAGAGGGAACUUAAAAAUGAUUUAUAAAGCAGAUAAUAUAUGUGACUUUCAUAUUACUUACUGAAGUGUGUAAGGGGAAAACUGACUUUUUUUUUCCUUCAAAAAAAUUCCCAAACCACUACUCAAUUAAAAUUUCUAAUUCAACACCCCAGAUUGUAGUGUAUUAAUGAUAUAGAUCUACAUAAUUUAAUGGUCUUUAAAAAUAGAUAUAAGAAAACACUUUGAGUGAUUUAUAGUAUAAUAAAUUUGAUUUUAUUUAUAUAUUGAUAAAAUAUUAAUGUUAUUUUUUGCAUUGCUUAGAUACGCCAUUAACUCCAGCUAGCAUGAAUACAACCUUUAGUUACUUAAAAAGCACUUUUGUAGUGAGGUGAGUAGUAUUGGUUAAUGUGAGUGGGGCUUAUGCAGAUUUCAUGGGCCUAAUUUUUGUGAGUCUUAUGCUUAGAGAAAAAGCAGCUUUGAGUUGUGAGCUGUUAUUUCUGAAAUAUCUGCUGAGAAUGGACUACAGCAGCUCCUUUUUUUCCUGGGCAAAGGAAAGUGCUCACAGAUGUUCCUGCUAGAUGCAGCAUUGGUCACAGCUGUUCUACCCUGGCAGUGUAAUAUUAUUUUUGUGAUUCUCUGAUUUUCCUUUUUGCCACUCAGAUAUAAAUCUAGAUUUAAGUAUUCUUUCUUAAUGAUUACAGACGCACAAUCUGACAUAAACUCACAAGCCAGUAGGUAAGAUUUGGACAUACCUCCUUUGGUAAAGAUGCUCUAUUCAUUCAUUCAUUCACUCAUUUAUUUCUCCAACAGAUAUUUAUUAAGUACCUACUAUGUAUCAGGUACUGUUCUAAGUCCUGGGGUUUCAACAGUGAACAAAAUAGGCCACCAUCAUGGCCCAUAGGCUAGUGGGUGGAUGUAGACAAAAACCAAAACAAAUAAUUAAAACGUAUAGAAUGCAGAUGGUAAUAACUGUUAUAGAGAAAAAUGAAGCAGGAUGAGGAUAGAGGGAGUUCCAGGAUGAAGGAGGGGAUUCAAAUUUAAAUGAUCAGAGAAGACCUCACUGAGAACAAAAAAGACAGAGCAAAGGAAUGAGGCAUGUAAAGAAAGGGAAGAGUGUUCUAGGCAGAAGAAACAGUAAGUGCCAUGGCCCUAGGGUGGCAGAGUGCUUAAUUGUAUUAACUCAACCACAAGGAAACUGGUAAGGCAGGAGCAUUAAUGGAGAAAUCAGAGAGGUAAUGGGGCCAGGUCCUAUAGGCUUCGUAAGUCAUUGUAAGAACUUUGGUUUUACUAUAAGUAUGAGGGGAAGCCACUGGAGGGUUUUGAGCAAAGAAAAAACAUUAUUUAAUUUAUUUUAAAAGAAUCGCUAUAGCUUCUUCAUUGACAGAGGAAGCAAGGUCAUUGGCUGAGAGUGAGGGUAAGGAGGAAGGUGCUGGAAGAGAUUAUGAUGCAGUCACUUAGGAGAGUGGGACAGUGACUUGAUUAGGGGACAUGUGAGUCCCAGGCAGCAUAGAGGUCCCACUUGGGGUUAGUGGUCAUGAGUUUAAAAUGAGGUCAGUCAAUUACGUGGAGCAGGCAGAGCACAAUUUAAUGAGGGUGAAGCUUUUGCCAAAUGACUAAGAGAAGGACGGGUGGGAAAAAGGGAGUGUCACUCAGGGAAAUGAUUCACUGAUUGGCUCUGAGUUAGUAGAGAAGUGAGUACCCAAGGGUCAAGGACAGUGUAAAGGUGGGAGGAUCAAUGGACAGAAGGCGUCAUGCUACAGGAUUGUUGGUUAUAGGACAGAGUGAACUCGUCAGAGAAUGACAUGCUUGAAGGGAAGAUCACAGGACAAAACUGACUUCAUUUAGGGUGUGUUACCUUUUUCAAAUGAAGUAUGAAAAUGCCAAAGACAAAUAUUCAUUAUAAUUGAAUCCCUCUAAAUCAUUCCAUCCUUUGUAGAUCCCCCCCCCCAAUAUUUGAGCUUUUAGAACACUAUCAGAAGAAAUCCACAAUGACUAACUUAGGAUAUUAGGUAUUCAGUUUAUAGAUUUCACUAAGAAAAAAAAUUAAAACCUAGUAGAAUCAGUCUUUUCAAGACUAUUUGCUUUAUCCUAGCUUAAAAAACUAAAACAAACAGAAAACAAAUAGCACUGAGAUCAAGGAGACAAAUAUUCCCUGUUCAGUUGGAAAUAUUCAAUGAACAAAUGAAAAUCACAUUUAUAUUUUCCAUUGUCCCAAGCACUGGCUGUAGAGUAGGAAAACUCUGUGAGUGAUAGCAAAGUAUUAGCUACAGUAAAAUAAAAACACAGAAUUACCCAAUAAAUACUUGCUAUUUGGAACAUACAUUGCAUUUACAAAAUCAUGCUGUUUCUCUGUUGGCUUUUGAAGAGACUAUUAGACUCUAAGCACAAAAAACUUGAAAGACUAUUCUCCAAGUCCAUGAUUUUCUUUUCUGUGGAAAGGUUCAUUUGUGCUGUGUACUAGCUACCAGAUAUGAGUGAUAAUCAUAUGGUGUUUGUCCUUCUCUUUCUGACUUACUUCACUCAGUAUGAGAGUCUCUAGUUCCAUCCAUGUUGCUGCAAAUGGCAUUAUUUUGUUCUUUUUAUGGCUGAGUAGUAUUCCAUUGUGUGUAUAUACCACAUCUUUCUAACCCAAUCAUGUGUCGAUGGACAUUUGGGUUGUUUCCAUGUCUUGGCUAUUGUGAAUAGUACUGCAGUGAACAUGCAGGUGCAUGUGUCUUUUUUAAGGCAAGUUUUGUCUGGAUAUAUAUGCCCAAGAGUGGGAUUGCUGGGUCAUAUGGUAAUUCUAUGUAUAGACUUCUAAGUCCAUUCCACUUCCUCUCUCUCCCCCUCCCCCUUGGCAACCGCAAGUUUGCUGUCCAUGUCUAUGAGUCUGUUUCUGUUCUGUAAUAGGUUCAUCUGUGUCAUAUUUUAGAUUCUACAUGUAAGUGCUAUCACGUGGUAUUUGCCUUUCUCUUUCUGACUUACUUUACUUAGUAUGAGAAUCUUUAGUUCCAUCAAUGUUGCUGCAAAUGCCAUUAUUUUUUCUUUUUUAUGGCUGAGUAGUAUUCCACUGUAUAUAUGUACCACAUCUUCUUAAUACAUUCACCUGUUGAUAGCCAUUUAGGUUGUUUCCAUGUCUUGUGCUUUGUGCUGCAGUGAACAUAGGGAUGCAUGUAUCUUUUUCAGUGAAAGCUUUGUCUGGGUAUAUGCCCAGGAGUGGGGUUGCUGGAUCAUGUGGUAGUCAUAUAUUUAGUUUUCUGAGGAACCUCCAUACUGUUUUCCAUAGUGGUUGUAUCAAUUUACAUCUCUACAAACAGUGCAGGAGGGUUCCCUUUUCUGCACACCCUCUCUAGCAUUGGUUAUUUGUAGUUUUAUUAAUGAUAGCUGUUCUGACCAGUGUGAGGUGGUACCUCAUAGUAGUUUUGAUUUGCAUUUCUCUGAUAAUUAGUUAUGUUGAGCAUUUUUUCAUGUGCCUGUUGGCCAUCCAUGUGUCUUCUUUGGAGAAAUGUCUAUUUAGGUCUUCUGCCCAUUUUUUUUUCAGUUGGGUUUUUUUUUGUUGUUGUUGUUGUUGAGAUGUAUGUGUUGUUUGUAUAUUUUAGAGAUAUUGGUUGCAUCAUUUGCAACUAUUUUCUCCCAUUCUGUAGGUUGUCUUUUUUUUUUUUAUGGUUUCCUUUGCUGCAUAAAAGCUUGUAAGUUUGAUUAGGUUCCAUUGGUUUGUUUUUCUUUUUAUUUCUAUUACCCUGGGAGACUGACCUAAGAAAACAUUUGUAUGGUUUAUGUCAGAGAAUGUUUUGCCUGUGUUGUCUUCUAGGAGUUUUUAAUGGAGUUUUAUGUUUAAGUCUUUAAGCCAUUUUGAGUUUAUUUUUGCGCAUGGUGUGAAAGUGUGUUCUAGUUUCAUUGAUGUACAUGCAGCUGUUCAGUUUUCCUAGCAACACUUGCUAAAGAGACUUUUUCCCAUUUUAUAUUCUCGCCUCCAUUGUUAAAGAUUAAUUGACUGUAAGUGCCUGGGUUUGUUUUUGGGCUCUCUAUUCUGUUUCAUUCAUCCAUGUCUCUGUCUUUGUACCAGUACCACACUGUCUUGAUUACUGUAGCUUUGUAAUACUGUCUGAAGUCUGGGAGAGUUAUGUCCCCUGCUUGGCUUUUUCCCCUCAGGAUUGCUUUGACAAUUCUGGGUCUUUUGUGGUUCUGUAUAAAUUUUUGGAUUGUUUCUUCUAGUUCUGUGAAAAAUGUCAUGGGUAAUUUCAUAGGAAUCAUAUUAAAUCUGUACAUUGCUUUGGGUAGUAUGGCCAUUGUAAUGAUAUUAAUUCUUUCAGUCCAGGAGCAUGGGAUAUCUUUCCAUUUCUUUGCUUCCUCUUUAAUUUCCUUGAUUAAUAUUUUAUAUUUCUCAACAUAUAAGUCUUUCACUUCCUUGGUUAUUCCUAGGUACUUAAUAUUUUGGGGUGCAAUUUUAAAAGGUAUUUUUUAUAUUCCUUGUCUAAUAUUUCAUCGUUAGCAUACAAAACUGCCACUGAUUUCUGAAUGUUAAUCUUGUAUCCUGCUAUUUUGCUGAAUUCAUUGAUUAGUUCAAGUAGUUUUUGGGUUGAGUCCUUAGGGUUUUCUAUAUAUAGCAUCAUGUCAUCUGCAUCUAGUGACAAUUUUAAUUCUUCUCUUCCAAUUUGGAUAUCUUCUAUUUCUUUUGUUUAUCUGAUUGCUGUGGCUGCGAAUAUCAAUACUAUGUUGAAUAACAGUGGUGAGAGUGGGCAUCCUUGUCCCUGAUUUUAGUGGGAAGGCUUUCAUCUUUUCUCCGCUGAGUAUUAUAUUGGCUGUGGGUUUGUCAUAAAUGGCUUUUAUUAUGUUAAGAUAUGUUCACUCUAUACCUACUUGGUGAAAGUUUUGAUCAUGAAUGGAUGUUGGAUUUUGUCAAAUGCUUUUUUUUUGCAUGCAUUGAGAUGAUCAUGUGGUUUUUGAUUUCUCUUUUGUUAAUUUGGCAUAUGAUAUUGACUGAUUUCUGUAUGUUGAACCAUUCUUGUGAACUUGGGAUGAAACCUACUUGGUUGUGGUGUAUGAUCUUUUUUAUUUUAUGUGUUGUUGGAUUCAGUUGGCCAAAAUCUUGUAGAGAACUUUUGUGUCUAUAUUCAUCAAAGAUAUUGGCUGAUAAUUUUCUUUUUUUGUAGUGUCUUUUUCUGGUUUUGGUAUUAGGGCGAUGGUGGCUUCAUAGAAUAUCUUUGGGAGUGUUACUACUUAUUCAACCUUUUGGAAGAGUUUAAGAAGGAUAGGUAUAAGUCCUUCUUUGUAUGUUUGGUAGCAUUCACAUGUGAAGCCCUCUGGUCCUGGACUUUUGUUUGUAGGGAGUGUUUUUAUUACAAAUUCAAUUUCAUUUCUAGUGAUGAAUCUGUCUAAAUGAUCCAUUUCUUCUUGAUUCAGUUUUGGUGGGCUGUAUGUCUCUCGAAUAUUGUCCAUUUCAUCUAGGUUUUCAAAUUUGUUGGAAAAUAAUUGUUCAUAAUAUUCUCUUAUGUUUUGUUGUAUGCCUGCAUUAUCCUUUGAGAUUUUUUUCUUUUCCCUUUUUUAUUUUAUUACUAUUAUUAUUAUUUUUUAGUUCUUUGUCUCUUCUUGGUGAGUCUGGCCAGAGUUUUGUCAAUUUUGUUUGCCUUUCAAAGAACCAGCUCUUGGUUUUAUUGAUUUUUUUCUAUUGUUUUUUGAAUCUCUAUUUUAUUGAUUUCUUCUUUGAUCUUUAUGAUUUCCUUCCUUCUGUUGACUUUAGGUUUUGCUUGGUCUUCUUUUUCUAAUUGUUUUAGGUGGUAGGUUAAGUUGUUGAUUUGAGAUUUUUCUUUUUUUCUGAGGAAGGCCUGUAUUACUAUAAACUUCCAUCUAAGAACUGCUUUUGUGGCAUCCCAUAGAUUUUGAAUGAUUGUGUUUUCAUUGUCAUUUGUCUCAAGGUAUUUUUUAAUCUACAUUUUGAUUUCCUUGUUGACCCAUUGGUUUUUUUAGUAGCAUAUUCUUUAGUCUACAUGUAGUCAUUUUUUUCUCAUUUCUAUUCUUGUGGUUGAUUUCUAGUUUCAUGCCAUUGUGGUCAGAGAAUAUGCUUGAAAUAAUUUCUAUACUUUAAAUUUGUUGAGGUAUAAGCCUGUCCUUGAGGAUGUUCUGUAUGAACUUUAAAAGAAUGUAUAUUCUUUUUUUGGUAUGUAACAUCCUGAAAAUAUCAAUUAAGUCUAACUGUUCUAUUAUGUCAUUUAGGAGCCCUGUCACCAUUGAUUUUAUUUCUAGAGGAUCUGUCCAUUGAUGUGAGUGUGGUGUUAAAAUCUUAUGGCAUUGUAUUGCAUUAUUGUAUUCCCAUCAGUUUCUCCUUUUAUGUCUGUUAGGCAGCAUAUUGUAGGCUCUUAUUUUUUAGCCAGUCUAUCACUCUAUCUUUUGAUUGGAGCAUUCAGUCCAUUGACAUUUAAGGUAGUUAUUGAUAAUUAUCUACUUAUUGCCAUUUUAGUUGUUUUCCAGUUGAUUCUGUUUGUCCUUUGUUCCUUUCUCUUUUGAUUGGAUGAUUUAUUUUUAUUUUAUGCAUGUGUCCUCUUCUUUUUAGUUCUCAUGAAUAUAUUUUUUGGUGUUGAUUUGUGGUUGCCCUGUUUUUCAAAUAUGUUAACCCCUUCCUAUAGCUGCUUGCUCAAACACAUGCUAAAAAAAANAAAAAAAAAAAAAAAAAA
rnacentral:lncRNA from 1 species